GCUAUCCUGGCCAUGACAGAGUGAGAGGCCAGCUGCCUAUCAGUACAGGAGCUCUUUGGAGAAAGGACUGGAGGAAGUGUUGAAAAGACUAAAACAUGAAUAAAUUUGUGACUGAGCAGGAGGUAACCGAGAGAGGUGUUUAUAAUGAGGUUGUUUCCCUCCUGGCACAUAUGGCUGACCAAGAUAAGAACAAAAUUGCCCUCAGGAUUGCCUCUAUAGCUAAGACCAAGCUGGCUAGUGUUGUGAGAGUUCUGCUGGAGAAACUGCAACAGGAUGAGCAAGUAACAAAUGAACUUAAAGUGGCAGCUAGUAACACCUUAGUGACGCUGGCACGCUGCUAUUUCAAUGAUGUGAUGUCUGAGCUGCGGUGUCAUCUGAACCUGCCGGAAGAGUUUAUUUUAGUUACACUGGGCAACCUGUCAUCAGCCUAUGCACUUAAGUGUAUCCGUUUUGUGAGAAUGACCCUGUAUGACAUGGACUGCAUGCUGGAGUUAGUCAACGACAGCAGGAUGAGACAAGCAUUUUGUGGUGAAUGGAUGCAUCGCAAUUCUGCGAUCCAAUUCUUCCUAUUUAUGCUCAUGUGACCAGCAACUGGCUGACCUGUGAGGAGCCGGAGCUCAAGCAGGCUAUCAUCAAAGCCCUUGGUCCCAUGAUGAGCCUCCUGCUACACAAAGAAGGCCAUCAAGAUCAGCUAUUUAAACCGAUCUCAUGGCUCCUUGAGCAAUAUAAGGAGAACACUGAUGUUUUUCACAUCACCAAGAGUCUGAGCCAGCUCUUGGAGGUCUCGGUGAAUAUAAGAUCCCUCUCCUAAGA